UUCAUUAAUCAAGGUCGUUUUAACACUUGCAUGUCCUCCAAGCAGCUCCUAGCCUAAACAAGAUGUUUGCCUAAGUUAUUUUCCAGGACCUUGGAGUCUCAGCUGUGUAUAGUUCAAGUUGAGCUAGUUAAGGGUAGCACCAUCGACCCUCCAGCUGGGCAGGUGCUAGUGUCUGCUGGGUGACCUUUUGAACGUAGAGAGGCCUGUAGCUUAGCUACACCUGUGCAGGACCACGAUUAUCGCGCACCCUUUCCCAAUCACCUUUCCCCACUCCCCCCACGCCUCAGCCUUCCCUGCUUCUUUAUUGGUCAUCCCAUAAAUAACCCAGCCCCUUGUUUUCUGCGAGGUGGAUUUGAGGUUUGUUCUCCGGUUUCUUCUCUUGGCUGCCUUGGGAGUAAAACCUCUGCUUCGAGCCUUGGUGACUCAGCGUUUUGGCUUGCUGUGCCUCUUGAAAAAUGAACCUGGCUCAGUAACAAAUUUGGUGGGUCAACCAGGAGGGACCAUGUUUAGGGAAAAGGAACAAUGGAGAAUGAAACAACAGGCCACUCUGCUGGCGGCUGCCUUAACACAGAGAAGAGCUGGACCCCCACAAAGGACUCAGCAAAAGGUAGGGGGCCUCAGGCCCUAAACUUCCCCUGGAAUGGUACCCGAUAGUGGGUGUCACUCUGGCUUUCUUUCAGUUCUUCACAUGUGUAAAACUCAUUUUUGCCCCAGGACGUUUGUACACGCUGCUCUCUUGGCUACUUUCUGUCUAUUCAUCUCCAACUCAUUGUAAUGUGUAUGUCACUUUAAAGAAGACAUAACGCUUGCCCUAUCUAAAUUAGGUCUCCCUUCAAAGCACUAAAUGUUUUGUGGUCCUCCUUUUCUUCCACUUGACCCAAAAUUCCAUAAGGGUGAGAAGUAGGUCAAUUUUGUUGCAGAUUCCCAGUUCUUGGCAUGACUCUUGACACAUAAUAGAUGCUCACUAAAUACCUGUUGAAUGAUUGUAUCACUCAAUCCUGGGAUAUUUGGACCAAGAACUAGGAUGCAAGCAAGAGAUUUGAUGUUCAUUCCAAAAUUCCCAUGAUAGUAGAAGGGAUGACAGUAAAUAACAGACAAGUUCUAGUACACAUCUUGAGUUCAGCAGGGCAAGAAUAGUGUAACAGACUUAAGGCAACCUCCUUACAACGAACUAGGGCAAUCUGGUAUUUGUGUGUGCCUCCAAGACACUUAAACACCCUCGAAGUUCUGGUAGUUGCAUAUAAUAGGGAAGUCAAGGCAAUUUAUUGGAAACAAAAAUGCUAUUCCUGUCUCUUCUGCUCUUUAAAUCAUACCAAUAAUGUCUGCUCCUCCUCCUGUAUAUGGGAUUAUGCCUGCUUGCAUUUCUGAUUCACUGGAGCUACAUACAGUCCUUCUGUCUAUUAUAGUCUAAUUAGAGAGAGCUCUAGAAUUUACCAAGAGAGGCACCCACAUCUUCAUAACUGCUAAGUGCAGUUUCCUCACCCUUAUUUCUGUAUCUAAAUACACUUAUCUUUCAUUUACCUUCAGGCCCCAUGCAAAAUUCUCUUUAUUUCCAAGU
rnacentral:lncRNA from 1 species